AGUGGCCCUCUUACAGUCUCAGCAGCAUUCAGUAUGUGUCAGUCGAACUGAUAUUAUAAAAGGAAAUGGACGAUGAUAGUGGGUGUGUAGUGCUCAUUUAUGCGGUGAGUUGCAUGCAAUCAUCAAUCGAAAUAGAACGAUCAGCAUCAUGUGAAUGAUAAUAUUCCAUCGGUAUUCCCAUGGUGCGUGAAUGUUACACUCGUCCACCCUGCUCUACGACCCCGUUCUUCAAUCCCCCUUGUCAUGUGUGUCUUGUGCGAGCCAUAAAAAGGAAGAGAUCCCGCUCUGCAAAAUCGCUGCGAGAGAGCACAGUCUUAAUACCAUCAGUCAUACAAUUAUACGCAGCGUGACGCAGCCUUUCAUAUACGUAAUGAAGAACUAAUGAACUAUCACGAAACUGAAAGCCAAAGACGAUGGAUCCAGUCAAUAAGAAACAGGUGGUCAACUCACCGGAAGUGGCGUUGGCCAGCGAGGUGUUUGAUCAGUUUUGCAAUGCCACUACGUUGAAAUCUAUUCUUGGCCACUACAGACAAUUGUGCGAAUUGCUAAAAGUUCGACCGAACAACAUUAAUCAGUUUUAUCCAAAAUUGAAGGCGAAGCUACGAUCAUGGAAGGCACAAGCGCUAUGGAAGAAGUUUGAUCAACGGGCUAAUCACAAAUGUUAUAAUCGUAGUAAAGCAUGCCCGAACACAAGAGUUUUGAUAAUCGGCGGAGGCCCAUGUGGCUUACGCACAGCCAUAGAGGCACAGUUGUUGGGAGCCAAAGUCGUGGUAAUAGAGAAAAGGGACCGGAUGUCUAGGAACAACGUUUUGCAUUUGUGGCCUUUUGUUAUCCAGGAUCUACGAAGUUUAGGAGCGAAAAAGUUCUUUGGAAAAUUUUGUGCGGGUUCCAUCGAUCAUAUAAGCAUUCGGCAAUUGCAAUGUAUUUUACUUAAGGUUGCUCUGAUUCUCGGCGUCGAGUUCCAUGAAAGCGUAAGCUUUGAUUCCUUGAUUGAACCACCUGAAAAUCAAGAGGACGGCAAAAUUGGUUGGGGAGCAAAAACGUUACCAGUGGAUCAUCCUGUCUCUCAAUAUGAGUUUGACGUGCUAAUCGGAGCUGAUGGCAAAAGAAAUACUUUAGAAGGUUUUAAACGAAAAGAAUUUCGAGGAAAAUUAGCCAUUGCAAUCACUGCGAAUUUCAUAAAUAAGCGAACCGAGGCAGAAGCUCGAGUUGAAGAGAUCAGUGGUGUUGCCUUUAUUUUUAAUCAAAAGUUUUUUAAAGAAUUAUAUCAAGAUACGGGAAUCGACUUGGAAAAUAUCGUAUAUUAUAAAGACGACACACAUUAUUUCGUUAUGACUGCUAAGAAACAUAGUUUAAUCGACAAAGGAGUUAUUCUGCAGGAUCAUGCUGAUACUGCAAAAUUACUCGCGAAAGAGAACGUAGAUCGUGAGGCAUUAAUGCUGUAUGCGCGGGAAGCGGCGGAAUUCUCGACGGAAUAUCAAAUGAUGAACAUGGAAUUUGCGGUGAAUCAUUAUGGCCAACCGGACGUAGCCAUGUUUGACUUUACUUCAAUGUAUGCAGCAGAAAAUGCGAGUCGUGUAUUGAAGCGUCAUGGACACAAUUUACUUAUGAUCCUUGUAGGCGACAGCCUUUUGGAGCCAUUUUGGCCUACUGGCUCUGGUUGCGCAAGAGGAUUCUUGAGCUCUCUGGAUGCUGGUUGGGCAAUCAAGGGUUGGGGCGCUUCAUUUUCACCAUUGGAAGUAAUCGCUGAGCGCGAAUCAAUAUACAGAUUGUUAGGACAGACGACACCGGAGAAUUUGAAUAGGGAUUACGCCGCGUACACCCUUGAUCCUCACACUAGGUAUCCGAAUCUGAAUAUACGUUCCGUGAUCCCGAUACAAGUGCGCAGUCUUCUUGAUACAGAUGAUCCAGAAAGCAUCAAACAACCUGUGGUUCAAUCUGAGAUCGAUAUUCCAAAGAAACGAAGACGACGCGAUCUAAGAGUAGAGGCUCAGAUUCAUCCAGACACAUUGCUUCGUUGGCUACAAAAGCAAGUUGCAUUGUAUGAUAAAAUUCACAUUGAAGAUAUGGGUGCCUCCUUCAAAGACGGUUUAGCCAUUUGUGCAAUUAUUCAUAGAUACCGUCCAGAUCUAAUAAAUUUUUAUAGCUUAAACGCGGAAGAUGUAGUGAAGAACAAUCAACUCGCCUUCGAUACAUUGGAAAAGGAAUUGAAUAUAUCGCCGAUAAUGACAGGAGAAGAAAUGGCUCAAUGUGAUGUUCCUGAUACACUUACUAUGUUUUCUUAUUUAACACAAAUAUAUGAAGCUUUCAAAGGCGAUAUUCCGUACAUCAAGCAUCCAAAAUUAGAAGCAGAAACAGAAGAAUGCAGCGCACAUCCAAAACAACUGAAACAAUUAACACCCGAGGAAAAGUCUAUGAAGAGGCACUCGCGCUCGCGGUACGCUAAUGAAAAUAUACAGUCUCACAUGGAUAAAAAGGACAACACAACUAGUCGGCGUUCUCGAAAGAGACGCAGUACCGAGAAAAUGAGUGCGACAAUGGAUGAGAGACAGAAAAGACUCGAUGAGAUCGAAAAGCAUCGAACUGAGCGCAUGAAGAGACGGCAAUAUUUGCGCAAGAUGGCGACGCAACAAUUCUACAAAAGCAUGCAAAUGUUACAAGCCAAUGCAAAACACGAAAAAGAUGGGCCGUUUGAGGAUUAUUCGAUUUUCUUAUACCGUCAAACUGCACCAGAUUUCAAGGACAGAGUAAAAGAUCUAGAACAGAAAAUACUCUACCCAGACAGACAACCUAAGAUACACAUCGGUUACGAAAGAGGUAAUGUGGACGAAGAAUUUUCGGGAAGAAUAAAAGAUUUUGAAGAUAAAUUAAAAGGGGCAACAUCUUCAGAGAAAAAACCUAAAGAUCUCUUACGUGCCAUCGGUAAGAUCGAGAAGACGGAUUGGAACGUGAAAGAGAUUGAAAAAAAAAUCGAAGAGAACAAGAUGGGCCGUGGCACUCGUCAUGAUCGCGUAGAGAGAGUGCCAAAGUGGAGUCGCGAGCAGAUGUGUAUAUGUUUCAUUCAGUUUUUAGCUCGGCAGAUCAAGAUGGAGAAACGGGGCAACGAUCAAAGAGACACUUACAGUAAGUACGCUGACAUAGACAAUACCCUGAAGAAUAUAGGCAAGAAGAUCCGAGAGGGUAGCGCGCUCGGACACAAUAAAGUUUCAGCCAUGGCUGAACAAUUUUCGAAUAAAAGUCAGGAUACGGAACCCAAGCUGCAGAAAUCGAAUACUAAAGCCACCAUCGUUCUACCAGUGCAAGGAAGUUCAGAGAUGUGCCAUUUUUGCAAUAAAAGAGUUUAUUUAAUGGAAAGGCUUAGCGCGGAAGGCAAAUUCUUUCACCGUGGUUGUUUUCGAUGUGAAUAUUGCUCCACUUCAUUAAGGAUAGGAAAUCACACGUUUGAUCGCGAAAAAAAUGGAGGGCGCUUUUAUUGUACUCAACACUUUGGAUUAUCGGGAACGAUGAAGACUAGAGCAGAAAAGAAGAGAAUUAAUUUGGUGAAUAAAGAAAAUGUACCCAAUGCCGGGAUUACAUCAAAAACACCAGAAAAGGCUAAAACACCGUUGGAAGGCAUUGUUGGACUUGAUCUUCUCGAUCGUGGUCAAACUCCAGAGAGAAUUGAAUUUGAAAAUCUAGCAGAAAUGUCAGAUCCUGAGGAAGCUCAUAGUCAAAUGGACGAAGACGAGUGGACAGAUAGAAAUUUUGGUGUUUCUACUGCAGAAAUGGGGUCUAGUGAUGAAAUUUCUGAUAUGAGUGAUUCUGAUGAAGAGGACGAAAUAUUUAAGGAAGCUAUAGACCAGCCACUAACAACCGAAGGAACUCUCGAGUUGGCUAAAAAUUGGACACUGCGUUAUUCUUAUCCACACGCUACAAUUGGCCAAUCGGAUACUGGCAGCAACGAAUAUGAAGAUUCUAGUGACGAAUACACUAGUGAAGAUGAUGAAAGCGGCACUGCGACUGAAGAUGAGGAGGACAUCCGCGCUCGAGAACUCCGAAAGCAAGAAGUAUGGUUGAAGGUGCCACCACGCAGCUCCGAUACUGACACUGGCUCGGAAACAGAGGUUGUAUCAUCGGAGGACGCGUCGACUGAAGAGAGCGCAGAAAAUUCUGCGACGGAGAUCUCGACCGAUUCGGAAUUCGAGCACGAUGAAGCGACUCCGACACAGCACGAGAUUCCUGAGAUUACUAUUAAUGACUCGUAUGUGCGGAAAACAAGAGGUACUUAUGUUGAGCCGAAGAAAGUGCAGAUAAAGAGCAAGAUGAUCUCUUCGAUUAACAGCAACAUAAAGCAAGACAAGAAGCAACAGGGUACCAGUAAUGAGCAGCUUAUGAAGGACAACCAAAUUAAAUACGAACCGAGCAAGGAGGUGAACUGCAAUGUGACGGCUUCUGUCGACCCGAAUAGCCGAACACCUUUGCUAAACCCGCGAAAGGGAGAUUAUCUUUUGAAUCGCACUCAUUCCACUGGAGGAAUCGCCUCAAGACUCUCUUUAGAGUUGAAAAAACGUUACUUACUGGGCGGAUCAGUUUUGAGUGGCUCCGUUGUAAAAUCAGGUUCAACGUCAAACGUGGACACGAAGUUAAGGAACUUCACUGACGCGAUCUCUCAGCAUCAAAAAUUGUUAAAUCCAGCGCCUGAGCCCAGUCCUACCAUGCAAGCAUUUCUACAAGGUGCUAAUAAGCUGCGAACCAACAAUGCGCCACUUUCUCCAUUAUCACCUACGAUUUUAUUUUCGCGACAAUUUUCAACCGAUCGCUGCCGAAAUUUAUCAAACGAUAUCGCAUACAAGCCGACAACGCCGAUCGAAAAUCCGUCCAAAGCGCAGCAAUUACCUGACUUGGUAAAGGAGUCCAGUAUCUUGAAAUCAAAGACAGCACCUAACAUCUGUGGUGAGUCUUCGAUAAAAGACAGAGAGUUAAUUGACAAACCAGUGUUUCUACAUCAAACUAAUAAUUUGACCAAGGAUUCCAUAGAGGAUAUGAAAAGCUCACAGAAUACAGAGAAAUUUCUUUUGAGCAACACGGAAGAAACUAAUGGUUUCAGACCGCGUAGUCCUCUUCACGAGACGUCCAUUGUUGUGCCGCAAGUGAAUUGGAACAAGAAGAAAGAAGAUAAAGAUGCCAGUUCGGGUGAUUCUGAGAUAGAUAGCGAUUCGUUAUCUUCGUCCGAUUCUAAUGAAGCGGUCGAGAACGAUCAAUUUGUUGCUAUAAAUCUUUCGCCGCCUAGAUUACAGAUUCACAGUACUGAUGGUGAUCUUCUACUCGACGAGGGAGUUGAUCGAUACAAGCAUUACGAUCCCGACGAUGGUCAGAGUUUCGAGCCAGACUCUAUCGAGGUCUCCUUCUUGCAGGAUCGCCGAUUAGUCGAGUCAUCGAAUGCCGAUUCAUCAGUAGACAACGCACGUACUGUUGAAACGCUGAAUAAUAAUAUGGAACAAUUAGAUUUGCGGGAUGAUAAUAAAAGAGACUGCAACAGUUCUUCCGAAGCUUCGGUGAUGUCUAACAAGCAAGAUGAUUCCGAAGAGAAUGACAUUACCACCGCGGCAUUCACCGAAACAGAGUUCUCCGAAUGGGCUCGCGAUGGUGAAGCUUUAGUCUCGGACGAUCUCCGCGAUGUAGAGCUGGACAUUGAUCCUAAUUUUAUUACUGUACGAAGAAAUAACGCGAAAUUAACUUCCACGCCUGCCAGAAUUGCCAAAGAGGAGGAUACAGAACUUGAAUAUUCUAAGAUCGAUCGGCUAGUCGAUCAUAAAUAUCCAAACAAUAGCACAUCGAAACUAUUGGUCAAUGGUGAGGACAUUAAUUACAUGGAUACAGACAACGAAUCAUUGUUAGAUGACAGUCUCCAAGACGCUUCCAAUAUUGCAAUGUUAAGAAACCGAGGUUACAUCGAAUUCGUAAACGUCAAGACGAUUCUUCCUGAUAUCCCGAAGUGCAAUUUAUCGAUCGCUGAUGCGCCAAUAGCAAGAUUGGAUUUCGAAAAUGAUUUCUACAGCGAGGAAGAGGAAGAAGGCUUCAAGGAUGCCAAUGUGAUCGAGAUUGAUCCUGUCACCAUGGAGGAUGUGAUUGGCAAACUAAACGAGCCCGUUGUGAAUAAUUCAUCAACUAAAUCAGAAAUUCAAAAAGUCGAAGAACAAAGCGAAGAGAAGUUUAAGGAGAGCAUGACGCAAGAGCCGUUGGUAGAAGCUAUUAACAAGGAAUUGUUCCAAUCAAUAGAGGAAGAUAGCUUAUUGGUGAUGGAGCCGGCAGAAGAUACAACAACCAGUGAAGUUGUCACAGUACUCGCCAGUCCGGUUAAUCCUCAGGUAUCUAUAGUUCCUCUAGAAAUGAUGGAAAAGCGCGACGAGCCAGUCAAAGCGGAUUCCAACAACCCAGAUUAUUUAGAAUACGUAAAAAGGCUGCAGUUUAGAAUCGCGGAAUUUAGCAACGCGAAAGAUUCUAUCGACGUAAGAAAAUCGAAGCGGAAGAACUCGAAGAGCAUGGCGCAGACAUAUACUGCGGAAAUAAUUGCCGAAGAGAUCAAAUGUCAGGAAACAACUGCGAAUAACAGUAGUAUCAAUUCACCGGCAACUUCGCGAAAACUUGAAGAGAUCAUCAAAGAGCGGUCGAAGCAGAAGAAUGUUAUUCAGGAUCUCUUGAUGGAUAAGGUUGAGGCUCACAAGCAGAAAUCAGCCGAGAAAAAAGCUCGAAGAGCCGCUAGAGCUUCAUCCUUUACUACAACAAUGUUAUCGCCGAUGAAACAGGAAUCAUCUAAUGUUUCUUCCAUUACAAGUAACAAGUUUGUGCCUGCUUCUAUAAUAUCACUAACAAACAGUCCAGAUGGCACAACUUCCGACGAGGCACACAAAUUGCCGGAUUCUUCAGUGUCUUCACACUCUCGUGAGCAAUGUGUUCAAGUUGAAGCCAAAGAACAAAUUCCAAAGAAGGCCGAUCAGCUAAGCCAAUUGCAGAUGACAGACAAAAGACCGACUAGUCUAGAGGAUCUUUUCAAGACGCCAAUCGCACCGCAAAGAUUUAAGAGCGAAGAAGCAAGGAGAACAGCCGAAAAGGCUAGGCAAGAUGCCAGAGAGCGAGCUAGAUUGAAGAGUGACGAGGAUUUAGGUUUAAGCCCCGAAGAUAGAAUCAAGGAAUUAAGAAUGAAGAUGACACGCAGACAACUUUCGAUGGACGAUGCGAGAAAAGAUGAUACGCCAAAAACUGAAAGAGCUAGAUCGUAUUACUUUAGCGCAGUAGAUAAUUCCGAAUUGAAAUUACAAACUAGUAAGAGUACGGACAAUAUGAAAAGUAUCGCGAAGAAGAUAAAUUUUCAGAAAUUACCAGCGGCUAACGCGAAAUCAAUGGACGAAUUAUUGAAUACUGCAGGUUUAUCGUGUUCGGAUAACAAUAGUGCAAUAAUUAAGAGAGAUAAAAAGAAACCGAAAGAUACAGAGAGAAGAAAGAGUAUUAUACAAGCAGUGUCGGAUUUUUUUUUCAAGAAGGAGUCCACUCCAUCACCUACUCAGAAAGAUAAGCUGUCAAUGUUUCGAUUGACUUCAAAAUCAAGAGGAAAAUUCGACAAAACUGCCUCAUCAAAAUCUGAUACAAGACCUAAAAGUAUGUGCGAAGACAUACUUGUACGAAAUUUUAUUACUGAAAAUUCACCACCCGUGCCACCACCACCACUUAAUUAUUCUAGCACCCAAGUAUCAGAAAUUGCAGAUAAUAGUUUGUCGGAUGAUGAUACAAAAACAGCUGCUUUGUCGACAUCAUAUACACAAAAAGUUACUGCAACUGAAGAAUCAUGCAAUAGCGUUCCACGUAAAUCAAAGUCUGCUAAAAAAGUAUCUAGACAAGCUCAAUUAAAGAGAUUGCGUAUGGCUCAAGAAAUACAGAGAAAAUUGGAGGAAACUGAAGUGAAACAGAAGGAAUUGGAAAGCCGAGGUGUAAGUGUCGAAAAAGCGCUGCGUGGUGAAGGAGAUUGUUCCAAUCAUGAAGAAGCCGAUUUACUUAGGGAAUGGUUUGAUCUUAUGAAGGAACGCACGGAGCUGCGCAGAUAUGAAAAAGAGCUUCUAGUACGUGCACAAGAAGUUCAAUUAGAAGAUCGUCAUGAACGAUUACAACAAGAAUUGCGCGAACGUUUAGCUAAUGAUGAUGAUAAGAAGACCAGUGAUGAUGUUAAAAAGGAAGGAGAAAUCUUGACGGAAAUGUUGGAGAUAGUCGCAAAAAGAGAUUCCUUAAUCGCUCUAUUAGAAGAAGAACGACAAAGUUUUCUUGGUCCGUAAUCUUGAGAAUAUCGUAUACUAGUAUAAAUAAACUGUGUUGUUUCAUUCGAGUGCAAAGAAAUAUUCUACCAAAACACAUUUUGGUAAUAACAUGAUAUACGUUAUAAGAUUUAUUCAUGUAAGGACUACGAUGCUUCAUGUUAUCAUGGACUACAGAUUAAUGAAUCAUAUCAGAACGAAGAUCGCGACCUCGAAGCUCAAAUGUUAGCUAAAGGCCUGAGAUUAACGCCAAUAAAGAAAUGUGGCUCUAAAUAUUCAGUCUAAAAUAUCGGAGUUACGCUUCUGUAUAUAUAUAUUUCUGCUACAAUUUUUUAUUGUAAUACUAUAGAGAAAAGUAUAUAUGUAUAAGAUUGUAAAUAAUUUAAGCUAUUAUCACGUGCGACAUGGAAUUUGAAGAUAGAGGAUUCAUAUAUGCCUAGAACUCUUCUGCCUGUUUUCGAUAUAUUCAAUAUAUGUAAUAAACGUAUCUUUUUUAUACAAAUAUAACUGUUUAUUUUUGACGCAAAAAUAAAUGAACAAAUCGAAGUAUUUA